AGCUGAUCAUCCUAGGAGAGCCUGAAGUAAAUAAAGAAGCAAGGAAGUUGGAUUCUCCAUGGAUGUGCUAGCAGUUGGUAGAGACUGCCCACAGUGAUGGCUCCCACAUCUGGACUCUUCAGCACCAUAAGACUCCUUUAUGUUCGCCCCCAAGAAAGACUGUGAGAUCCUGGAAGAUAUUGACUGAGCACCUAUUAUGUGCCAGACACUGUACUAAGUGCUGAGGUUAUAACAGUAAACAAGUUGAUCCAAAACAACGUCACGAGCAGGAAAGUUGACUCAAGAGGACCCAUAAAUCUAACCAGUAUGCCAUCCUGUCCUGACCUGCUCCCAUGUUGGGGACUCAUGCAUAAUGCUGUCUGAUGGAAGCAAAACACAAGUCUAAAAGGGUGGAGGUGGGCCACACUUUCCUGUGUUAAGAAAGCUGCUUAAGUGUAUUUGUUUAAGAGGUCUGUUCUUUAGUUGUAGGUUGCCUGGGAGAAUAAAGAGAAUAAGAAAUGAA